CACGUAGUUAGCCGGUGCUUAUUCUUACGGUACCGUCAUCAGCUCCCUGUAUUAGAGGAAGCCUUUUCGUUCCGUACAAAGCAGUUUACAACCCGAGGGCCUUCAUCCUGCACGCGGAAUGGCUGGAUCAGGCUUGCGCCCAUUGUCCAAAAUUCCCCA
rnacentral:rRNA from 1 species